rnacentral:misc_RNA from 1 species
GAUGAAGAACGUAGCGAAAUGCGAUAAGUAAUGUGAAUUGCAGAAUUCAGUGAAUCAUCGAAUCUUUGAACGCACAUUGCGCCCGCCAGUAUUCUGGCGGGCAUGCCUGUUCGAGCGUCAUUUCAACCAUCAAGCCCCCGGCUUGUGUUGGGGACCUGCGGCUGCCGCAGGCCCUGAAAAGCAGUGGCGGGCUCGCUGUCACACCGAGCGUAGUAGAUUUCAUCUCGCUCAGGGCGUGCUGCGGGUUCCGGCCGUUAAACCACCUUCAUAACCCAAGGUUGACCUCGGAUCAGGUAGGAAGACCCGCUGAACUUAAGCAUAUCAAUAAGCGGACGA